AUAGCAAUAAUAAUUAUUGUAGUACCGACAUACAUUAUUUUUGUAUUAUGUGUUGCAGUUAUAUUAUUACGGACGGCAAUAACGGGUUCGAAGACAAAGUCGGGGAAUUGAAAAAUAUUAGAUUCGUGUGUUCUGUGAUAUUAUACAAGUCCAAUUUGGAUGGCCUGAAUAAUAUUUAAAGGUAUGAAAUGCUGACAUUUGAGCUGAAGGUGCUGAUCCGAACACACUGCCCCGAAUCGGGCCUUUGGUCAAAGACAAAAUAUGUAUUUUUGUUUCGUUUCUUUCAAAGGGGUUUCAUCAAGUGGAAUCGUCCUGGUCGACGGAUACAGCAGCUGGCACAGUGGUCAGUUUACAAACGGCCGGUUGACCUGCUUCGGUGUGGCCCAAUUUCUGACACGUGACAGACUCCAGAGGGAUGUUCCAAAGGCCGGCGUGCAAAGCCCUGAAACCCGGAUAGAAGUCGCAGUCGCACCAGCCCAUGAAAUCGUCCGUGUCCACGUAGUACAGCUGAACGCCUAGUAUAUCCAAAAACCUCAUGGCGUAGCCCUGCGGAUAAGUAAACAUCGGUUAAGUACACCGGCACGCGCAGUCAAUGAAGUUUCCUCGAGUUCUUCGAGGAAGAACAGUUAUUAUGAAUCAUGAAAUAUAACAUAACGUUUUAUGGCACCCAGCCACUGUUAAUCUUGAUGACUGAACGUUUCACACAAUUCACCUGUUUGCACAGAUAACUAGAUUGCCAAGUGUACGUGCCGCCAAUUAAGAUAAUUGAAGUUACCAUUUUCCGCAAUACUAACUAUUUUUUUAUCAAUACCAAUUCCACCAGCUGAUAAGAAACUGGUCAUAGACAUUGGUGAUUUGUGCAAUUUGGUAAAACUAGUAGCGACCCUUAUUAUUUACACACACACACACAUAAAUCCCACAAAAAUGGCGGACGUCGACUUCUAUUUUUAUCACAAGUUAGCAAUCUAGUUUAUUAUAUUGCGGUUAGGAUAGUGAUAAGAGAUAAGGAAUAGUGAUAAGGAGGCGUGAUUAAAGAUAAAAAUAGGUGAUAAUGAUAUUGAUGUGGCUCAAAAGUGUGUUGCAAAUUUUGACAUCGCCCUUAGCCAUAAAAUAUGAAAAACUUACACU